ACCGGUGGUUAUUGCGAAGGGGGUAUACCCGUUCCCAUCCCGAACACGGUAGUCAAGCCCUUAAGCCCUGACGAUACUUUGGGGGCAGCCCCACGGGAAAAUAAGACACCGCCGUUU
rfam:Ktedonobacter racemifer DSM 44963 strain SOSP1-21 Krac_Contig204, whole genome shotgun sequence.